rnacentral:rRNA from 1 species
UCAAGAAUAUUCCUCAAUGGACGAAAGUCUGAAGGAGCGACGCCGCGUGCCGGAAGAAGGUCUUCGGAUCGUAAACGGCUUUUAUAGGGGACGAACAAAUGACGGUACCCUAAGAAUAAGAGGUUGCUAACUCUGUGCCAGCAGCAGCGGUAAUACAGAGACCUCGAGCGUUAUCCGGAUUUAUUGGGCGUAAAGGGUCCGCAGGCGGUCGUGUGCGUCAUAUGUCAAAACUCUGGGCUCAACCCAGAAUCGGCGUGUGAUACGGCACGACUAGAAGCUGGGAGAGGCACAUGGAAUUACUGGUGUAGCGGUAAAAUGCGUUAAUAUCAGUAAGAACACCAAAGGCGAAGGCAGUGUGCUGGAACAGUCUUGACGCUCAGGGACGAAAGCGUGGGGAGCGAAAGGGAUUAGAUACCCCCGUAGUCC